UAUAACUAUGUAAAUGUCAAACUGAUUUUUUUUUUCCAAAAAGUUUUUAAUUUUUUAAUUUUUACACAUCUCUUUGCGUGGGCAACGUGGUUCCAGAUUAUAUCACUUGUACAUAAUCAUACUUUCAUUUCCACCAAUCUUAUAUGAUGUCAUCUCAUAUCAUUAUCCAUUUUACCCAUAUUUAAAUAAAUUUUCAUUUUAUAUUUCAAUUCAUUAGUUCAAUAUCAAUAUCAUUUCAUCCAUAUAUAGAUUUCCAGUUCUUUAUCUCCUAUUAUUUCCAUUUUCAGCUUACCAACUAUUUUAUUUAACAUUACACAUCAUUAUUAUCCUUAAUUUUCCCUAAGCCAAUUAU